rnacentral:rRNA from 1 species
UACAGAGGUCUCAAGCGUUGUUCGGAUUCAUUGGGCGUAAAGGGUGCGUAGGCGGCGCGGUAAGUCGGGUGUGAAAUCUCGGAGCUUAACUCCGAAACUGCAUUCGAUACUGGCGUGCUUGAGGACUGGAGAGGAGACUGGAAUUUACGGUGUAGCGGUGAAAUGCGUAGAUAUCGUAAGGAAGACCGUGGCGAAGGCGGGUCUCUGGACAGUUCCUGACGCUGAGGCACGAAGGUCAGGGGAGCAAAC